UGUCCAGACUCCUACGGGAGGCAGCAGUGGGGAAUAUUGCACAAUGGGGGAAACCCUGAUGCAGCGACGCCGCGUGAGUGAAGAAGUAUUUCGGUAUGUAAAGCUCUAUCAGCAGGGAAGAAAAUGACGGUACCUGACUAAGAAGCCCCGGCUAACUACGUGCCAGCAGCCGCGGUAAUACGUAGGGAGCGAGCGCUGUCCGGAAUUACUGGGUGUAAAGGGAGCGUAGGCGGGCGAGAAAGUUGAAUGUUAAAUCUACCGGCUUAACUGGUAGCUGCGUUCAAAACUUCUUGUCUUGAGUGAAGUAGAGGCAGGCGGAAUUCCUAGUGUAGCGGUGAAAUGCGUAGAUAUUAGGAGGAACACCAGUGGCGAAGGCGGCCUGCUGGACAGCAACUGACGGUGAGGCGCGAAAGCGUGGGGAGCAAACAGGAUUAGAUACCCGCGUAC
rnacentral:rRNA from 1 species